rnacentral:rRNA from 1 species
UGGAUACUAGGUGUAGGAGUUUAAAAUGUCCUUCUGUGCCGGAGCUAACGCGUUAAGUAUCCCGCCUGGGGAGUACGGUCGCAAGGCUAAUACUCAAAGGAAUUGACGGGGGCCCGCUCAAGCAGCGGAGCGCGUGGUUUAAUUCGAUGCAACGCGAAGAACCUUACCAGGGCUUGACAUGUAGGUAGUAGUGAAGCGAAAGCGGAACGAUCCUUCGGGAAGCCUACACAGGUGCUGCAUGGCUGUCGUCAGCUCGUGCCGUGAGGUGUUAGGUUAAGUCCUGUAACGAGCGCAACCCCUGCCGUUAGUUACAAGUGUCUAACGGGACUGCCCGGCAAAACUGGGAGGAAGGUGGGGAUGACGUCAAGUCAGCAUGGCCUUUAUGUCCUGGGCUACACACACGCUACAAUGGCCGGUACAAUGGGUUGCCAAGCCGCGAGGCGGAGCCAAUCCUCUAAAGCCGGUCUCAGUUCGGAUUGUAGGCUGCAACCCGCCUGCAUGAAGUUGGAGUUGCUAGUAACCGCAGGUCAGCCACACUGCGGUGAUACGUUCCCGGGCCUUGUACACACCGCCCGUCACGUCAUGGAAGCUGGUAACACCUGAAGCCGGUGAGCUAACCGCAAGGAAGCAACCGUCGAAGGUGGGAC